ACCGGCCACACUGGGACUGAGACACGGCCCAGACUCCUACGGGAGGCAGCAGUGGGGAAUAUUGCGCAAUGGGCGAAAGCCUGACGACGCAGCGACGCCGCGUGCGGGAUGAAGGCCUUCGGGUUGUAAACCGCUUUCAGCAGGGACGAAGCGAAAGUGACGGUACCUGCAGAAGAAGCCCCGGCCAACUACGUGCCAGCAGCCGCGAUAAUAA
rnacentral:rRNA from 1 species